rnacentral:misc_RNA from 1 species
CUGCAUAGAACCCGGGUAGGCGAGGACAAGGUAACAGGUCGUGUAGACAGGAUCCCAGUGAAAAGUUCUCCCGCUGCCGCGAAGAUUUAAUGUAAGUCGAGACCAAUAUCAACAUGAAUAUUCUUGACCUGCCCUCUACAAAACUGUUUGUGUCCGACCUGCAGCACUGUGAGAAGUCCUCUGAUGUCAUCAAUCCUAAUGUCAAGUCUGUCAACUGGGAAAUGAAAGUGCUUGGCAGGAAGAAGAUAUUUGGCUGUGUGUGGGUGCAAGGUUUAGUGGUGCAGAAGACUGACAAGGGAGACGAGAUUGUGCUUGAUGAUGGGACUGGGACUGCUCGGAUAGUAGGGUGUGACAAGGUCCCUCCAGCCUGUCCCCGAGUGAAACCAGGUCAAUAUGCGAUGGUGAUAGGAGUGAUGACAGCUGGUGGCCCAGAGCCUACUAUUCGUGGUAUAAAGAUACAAGACCUCAGUGGAUGUAUGAUAGCAGAAAGCAUGUGGAUGUUGGAGGUGAUAGACUGUGCUGACACCUGAUGUAUUGACCAGCGAUGUAUGACAGUGUUACAAGCACAUGUGGAUGUUGGAGGUGAUAGACUAUGCCAACAUCUAAUGUAUUGACCGGUGAUGUAUGACAGUGUUACAAGCACAUGUGAAUGUUGAAGGUGAUAGACUGUGCUUAGACUUGAUGUAUUGACCGGGGAUGUACGACAGUGUUACAAGCACAUGUGGAUGUUGGAGGUGAUAGACUAUGCCAACAUCUAAUGUAUUGAUUGGUGAUGUAUGACAGUGUUACAAACACAUGUGGAUGUUGGAGGUGAUAGACUGUGCUUAGACUUGAUGUAUUGACCGGGGAUGUACGACAGUGUUACAAGCACAUGUGGAUGUUGGAGGUGAUAGACUAUGCCAACAUCUAAUGUAUUGAUUGGUGAUGUAUGACAGUGUUACAAACACAUGUGGAUGUUGGAGGUGAUAGACUGUGGUGAUACCUGAUGUAUUGACCGGUGAUGUAUGACAGUGUUACAAGCACAUGUGGAUGUUGGAGGUGAUAGACUAUGCCAACAUCUAAUGUAUUGAUUGGUGAUGUAUGACAGUGUUACAAACACAUGUGGAUGUUGGAGGUGAUAGACUGUGCUUACACUUGAUGUAUUGACCGGGGAUGUACGACAGUGUUACAAGCACAUGUGGAUGUUGGAGGUGAUAGACUAUGCCAACAUCUAAUGUAUUGAUUGGUGAUGUAUGACAGUGUUACAAGCACAUGUGAAUGUUGAAGGUGAUAGACUGUGCUUAGACUUGAUGUAUUGACCGGGGAUGUACGACAGUGUUACAAGCACAUGUGGAUGUUGGAGGUGAUAGACUAUGCCAACAUCUAAUGUAUUGAUUGGUGAUGUAUGACAGUGUUACAAACACAUGUGGAUGUUGGAGGUGAUAGACUGUGGUGAUACCUGAUGUAUUGACCGGUGAUGUAUGACAGUGUUACAAGCACAUGUGGAUGUUGGAGGUGAUAGACUAUGCCAACACCUGAUGUAUUGACCAGCAUUGAAUAACAGUGUUAUUCCAUGAUGUAUUGACCAGUAUUGUAUGACAGUGUUACAAGCACAUGUGGAUGUUGGAGGUGAUAGACUCUGCCAACACCUGAUGUAUUGACCAGCAUUGAAUAACAGUGUUAUUCCAUGAUGUAUUGACCAGUAUUGUAUGACAGUGUUACAAGCACAUAUGGAUGUUUGAGGUGAUAGACUCUGCCAACACCUGAUGUAUUGACCAGCAUUGAAUAACAGUGUUAUUCCAUGAUGUAUUGACCAGCGAUGUAUGGCAGUGUUACAAGCACAUAUGGAUGUUUGAGGUGAUAGACUCUGCCAACACCUGAUGUAUUGACCAGCAUUGAAUAACAGUGUUAUUCCAUGAUGUAUUGACCAGCGAUGUAUGGCAGUGUUACAAGCAUAUAUGGAUGUUGGAGGUGAUAGACUCUG